rnacentral:rRNA from 1 species
UACGGGGGGGGCAAGCGUUGUUCGGAAUUACUGGGCGUAAAGGGCUCGUAGGCGGCCAACUAAGUCAGACGUGAAAUCCCCAGGCUUAACCUGGGAACUGCGUCUGAUACUGGAUGGCUUGAAUUCGGGAGAGGGAUGCAGAAUUCCAGGUGUAGCGGUGAAAUGCGUAGAUAUCUGGAGGAAUACCGGUGGCGAAGGCGGCAUCCUGGACCGACAUUGACGCUGAACGGCGAAAGCUAGGGGAGCAAACGGG